GAUGAAGAACGGAGCGAAAUGCGAUAAGUAAUGUGAAUUGCAGAAUUCAGUGAAUCAUCGAAUCUUUGAACGCACAUUGCGCCCUCUGGUAUUCCGGGGGGCAUGCCUGUUCGAGCGUCAUUACAACCCUCAAGCUUUGCUUGGUAUUGGACAUUGCCAGUUUCUGGCAGGUCUUAAAAUCAGUGGCGGUGCCAUUUGGCUUCAAGCGUAGUAAUUCUUCUCGCUUUGGAGAUCCAGGUGGUUACUUGCCAAUAACCCCCAAUUUUUUCAGGUUGACCUCGGAUCAGGCAGGGAUACCCGCUGAACUUAAGCAUAUCAAUAAGCGGAGGA
rnacentral:misc_RNA from 1 species